AUUGAACGCUGGCGGCAUGCCUUACACAUGCAAGUCGAACGGCAGCACGGGAGCAAUCCUGGUGGCGAGUGGCGAACGGGUGAGUAAAGUAUCGGAACGUGCCCAGUCGUGGGGGAUAACGUAGCGAAAGUAACGCUAAUACCGCAUACGAUCUAUGGAUGAAAGCGGGGGAUCGCAAGACCUCGCGCGAUUGGAGCGGCCGAUAUCAGAUUAGGUAGUUGGUGGGGUAAAGGCUCACCAAGCCGACGAUCUGUAGCUGGUCUGAGCGGACGACCAGCCACACUGGGACUGAGACACGGCCCAGACUCCUACGGGAGGCAGCAGUGGGGAAUUUUGGACAAUGGGCGAAAGCCUGAUCCAGCCAUGCCGCGUGCAGGAUGAAGGCCUUCGGGUUGUAAACUGCUUUUGUACGGAACGAAAAGGUUUGGCCUAAUAAGCUGAGCUCAUGACGGUACCGUAAGAAUAAGCACCGGCUAACUACGUGCCAGCAGCCGCAGUAA
rnacentral:rRNA from 1 species